CCUACGGGCGGCUGCAGUGGGGAAUAUUGGACAAUGGGCGAAAGCCUGAUCCAGCCAUGCCGCGUGUGUGAAGAAGGCCUUCGGGUUGUAAAGCACUUUCAGUGGGGAAGAAAGCCUUGGGGCUAAUACCCUCGAGGAAGGACAUCACCCACAGAAGAAGCACCGGCUAACUCCGUGCCAGCAGCCGCGGUAAUACGGAGGGUGCGAGCGUUAAUCGGAAUUACUGGGCGUAAAGCGCGCGUAGGCGGUCUGAUAAGCCGGUUGUGAAAGCCCCGGGCUCAACCUGGGAACGGCAUCCGGAACUGUCAGGCUAGAGUGCAGGAGAGGAAGGUAGAAUUCCCGGUGUAGCGGUGAAAUGCGUAGAGAUCGGGAGGAAUACCAGUGGCGAAGGCGGCCUUCUGGACUGACACUGACGCUGAGGUGCGAAAGCGCGGGUAGCAAACAGGAUUAGAUACCCUUGUAGUC
rnacentral:rRNA from 1 species